UACGGAGGAUCCAAGCGUUAUCCGGAUUCAUUGGGUUUAAAGGGUGCGUAGGCGGAAUGAUAAGUCAGUGGUGAAAGCCUGCAGCUUAACUGCAGAACUGCCAUUGAUACUGUCAAUCUUGAGUACAUUUGAUGUGGGCGGAAUGUGUCAUGUAGCGGUGAAAAUGCUUUAGAUAUGACACAGAACACCGAUUGCGAAAGGCAGCU
rnacentral:rRNA from 1 species